UGGUUAAGUCCCGCAACGAGCGCAACCCCUACGUUUAGUUGCUAACGCGUGAAGGCGAGCACUCUAGACGAACUGCCGUUGACAAAACGGAGGAAGGUGGGGAUGACGUCAAAUCAUCAUGCCCCUUAUGUUCUGGGCUACACACGUGCUACAAUGGCCGGUACAGACGGACGCAAAGCCGCGAGGUGGAGCAAAUCCGAAAAAGCCGGUCUCAGUUCGGAUUGCAGGCUGCAAUUCGCCUGCAUGAAGUCGGAAUCGCUAGUAAUCGCAGGUCAGCAUACUGCGGUGAAUACGUUCCCGGGCCUU
rnacentral:rRNA from 1 species